rnacentral:rRNA from 1 species
GGCCAGGCGGAGCUACCAUGCAGUCGAGCGGUAACAGAUCCAGCUUGCUGGAUGCUGACGAGCGGCGGACGGGUGAGUAAUGCAUAGGAAUCUGCCCGAUAGUGGGGGAUAACCUGGGGAAACCCAGGCUAAUACCGCAUACGUCCUACGGGAGAAAGGGGGCUUCGGCUCCCGCUAUCGGAUGAGCCUAUGUCGGAUUAGCUAGUUGGUGAGGUAACGGCUCACCAAGGCCACGAUCCGUAGCUGGUCUGAGAGGAUGAUCAGCCACAUCGGGACUGAGACACGGCCCGAACUCCUACGGGAGGCAGCAGUGGGGAAUAUUGGACAAUGGGGGGAACCCUGAUCCAGCCAUGCCGCGUGUGUGAAGAAGGCCCUCGGGUUGUAAAGCACUUUCAGCGAGGAAGAACGCCUAGCGGUUAAUACCCGCUAGGAAAGACAUCACUCGCAGAAGAAGCACCGGCUAACUCCGUGCCAGCAGCCGCGGUAAUACGGAGGGUGCAAGCGUUAAUCGGAAUUACUGGGCGUAAAGCGCGCGUAGGUGGCUUGAUAAGCCGGUUGUGAAAGCCCCGGGCUCAACCUGGGAACGGCAUCCGGAACUGUCAAGCUAGAGUGCAGGAGAGGAAGGUAGAAUUCCCGGUGUAGCGGUGAAAUGCGUAGAGAUCGGGAGGAAUACCAGUGGCGAAGGCGGCCUUCUGGACUGACACUGACACUGAGGUGCGAAAGCGUGGGUAGCAAACAGGAUUAGAUACC